AUUGAACGCUGGCGGAAUGCUUUACACAUGCAAGUCGAGCGGCAGCGCGGGGGCAACCCUGGCGGCGAGCGGCGAACGGGUGAGUAAUGCAUCGGAACGUACCCAGUCGUGGGGGAUAACGUGGCGAAAGUCACGCUAAUACCGCAUACGUCCCUGAGGGAGAAAGCAGGGGAUCGCAAGACCUUGCGCGAUUGGAGCGGCCGAUGUCUGAUUAGCUAGUUGGUGGGGUAAAGGCCUACCAAGGCGACGAUCAGUAGCUGGUCUGAGAGGACGAUCAGCCACACUGGGACUGAGACACGGCCCAGACUCCUACGGGAGGCAGCAGUGGGGAAUUUUGGACAAUGGGCGAAAGCCUGAUCCAGCCAUUCCGCGUGAGUGAAGAAGGCC
rnacentral:rRNA from 1 species